UGGGGAAUAUUGCACAAUGGGCGAAAGCCUGAUGCAGCAACGCCGCGUGAGUGAUGAAGGCCUUCGGGUUGUAAAGCUCUGUCUUCUGGGACGAUAAUGACGGUACCAGAGGAGGAAGCCACGGCUAACUACGUGCCAGCAGCCGCGGUAAUACGUAGGUGGCAAGCGUUGUCCGGAUUUACUGGGCGUAAAGGAUGCGUAGGCGGAUACUUAAGUCAGAUGUGAAAAUCCCGGGCUUAACUUGGGAACUGCAUUUGAAACUGGGUAUCUAGAGUGCGGGAGGGGACAGUGGAAUUCCUAGUGUAGCGGUGAAAUGCGUAGAGAUUAGGAAGAACACCAGUGGCGAAGGCGACUUUCUGGACCGUAACUGACGCUGAGGCAUGAAAGCGUGGGGAGCAAACA
rnacentral:rRNA from 1 species